UACGUAGGGUGCGAGCGUUGUCCGGAAUUAUUGGGCGUAAAGGGCUCGUAGGCGGUCUGUUGCGUCGGGAGUGAAAACUCAGGGCUUAACCCUGAGCCUGCUUCCGAUACGGGCAGACUGGAGGUAUGCAGGGGAGAACGGAAUUCCUGGUGUAGCGGUGAAAUGCGCAGAUAUCAGGAGGAACACCAAUAGCGAAGGCAGCUCGCUGGGACGGUACUGACGCUAAGGCGCGAAAGCGUGGGGAGCGAACAGG
rnacentral:rRNA from 1 species